rnacentral:rRNA from 24 species
UGUCGUCAGCUCGUGUUGUGAAAUGUUGGGUUAAGUCCCGCAACGAGCGCAACCCUUAUCCUUUGUUGCCAGCGAUUAGGUCGGGAACUCAAAGGAGACUGCCAGUGAUAAACUGGAGGAAGGUGGGGAUGACGUCAAGUCAUCAUGGCCCUUACGACCAGGGCUACACACGUGCUACAAUGGCGCAUACAAAGAGAAGCGACCUCGCGAGAGCAAGCGGACCUCAUAAAGUGCGUCGUAGUCCGGAUUGGAGUCUGCAACUCGACUCCAUGAAGUCGGAAUCGCUAGUAAUCGUGGAUCAGAAUGCCACGGUGAAUACGUUCCCGGGCCUUGUACACACCGCCCGUCACACCAUGGGAGUGGGUUGCAAAAGAAGUAGGUAGCUUAACCUUCGGGAGGGCGCUUACCACUUUGUGAUUCAUGACUGGGGUGAAGUCGUAACAAGGUAACCGUAGGGGAACCUGC